GAUAUGAUCCAGAGUACCACGGGACACGUGAAACCCUGUGGGAAGCAGGAGGGACCACCCUCCAAGGCUAAAUACUACCUAGUGACCGAUAGCGUAUAGUACCGUGAGGGAAAGGUGAAAAGAACCCCGGGAGGGGAGUGAAAUAGAACCUGAAACCCUGCACUUACAAGCUGUGGAAGCACAUUUCUUGUGUGACCGCGUACUUUUUGUAGAACGGGCCAACGAGUUACGUUAAGUAGCAAGGUUAAGCACUUAAGGUGCGGAGCCGUAGCGAAAGCGAGUUUUAACUGAGCGUUCAGUUACUUGACGUAGACCCGAAACCGGGCGACCUACCCAUGAGCAGGAUGAAGCGAAAGUAAAAUUUCGUGGAGGUCCGAACCCACGAGCGUUGAAAAGCUCGGGGAUGACUUGUGGGUAGCGGUGAAAUUCCAAUCGAGCCCGGAGAUAGCUGGUUCUCCCCGAAAUAGCUUUAGGGCUAGCCUCAAGGUGAGAGAUACGGAGGUAGAGCACUGAAUGUCCUAGGGGGUAUUGCACCUACCGAAGACUAUCAAACUCCGAAUGCCGUCAUCUUAUACUUGGGAGUCAGACUGUGGGUGAUAAGAUUCAUAGUCGAAAGGGCAACAGCCCAGAUCGUCAGCUAAGGUCCCUAAAUGUAAGUUAAGUGGUAAAGGAUGUGGGAUUGCACAGACAACCAGGAUGUUGGCUUAGAAGCAGCCACUCAUUCAAAGAGUGCGUAAUAGCUCACUGGUCGAGUGAUCCUGCGCCGAAGAUUUCCGGGGCUAAAACUUACUACCGAAGCUACGGCAUCAGUAAUGAUGGGUAGGGGAGCUUCCCAUACGGGUUGAAGCAUGACCGUAAGGACAUGUGGACAGUAUGGGAGUGAGAAUGUUGGCAUGAGUAGCGAGAUGUGGGUGAGAAUCCCACAGGCCGUAAACCCAAGGUUUCCAGGGGAAGGUUCGUCCGCCCUGGGUUAGUCGGGACCUAAGCUGAGGCCGAAAGGCGUAGGUGAUGGACAACAGGUUGAUAUUCCUGUACUACCGAUAACCGUUUGAGAGAAGGGAUGACACAGUAGGAUAAGCUAAGCACACUGUUGGUUAUGUGUGCCCAAGCAUUGAGGCAGUCAAAGUAGGCAAAUCCGCUUUGAUAAUGCUGGGAUGUGAUGGGGAGCGAAAUUUAGUAGCGAAGUAGCUGAUUUCACACUGUCAAGAAAAGUCUCUAUCGAGGUUAAAGGUACCCGUACCGCAAACCGACACAGGUGGGUGAGGAGAGUAUCCUAAGGCCAGCGAGAGAACUGUUGUUAAGGAACUCGGCAAAAUGACCCCGUAACUUAGGGAUAAGGGGUGCCACCAUCAGGUGGCCGCAGAGAAUAGGCCCAAGCGACUGUUUACCAAAAACAUAGGUUUCUGCUAAGUCGCAAGACGAUGUAUAGGAGCUGACGCCUGCCCGGUGCUGGAAGGUUAAGGGGAUCUGUUAGAGCAAUCGAAGCAGUGAACUUAAGCCCCAGUAAACGGCGGCCGUAACUAUAACGGUCCUAAGGUAGCGAAAUUCCUUGUCGGGUAAGUUCCGACCCGCACGAAAGGCGUAACGAUUUGGGCACUGUCUCAACAACAGACUCGGUGAAAUUGUAAUUCCGGUGAAGAUGCCGGAUACCUGCGACAGGACGGAAAGACCCCAUGGAGCUUUACUGUAGCUUGACAUUGGGUCUUGGUACUACAUGUACAGGAUAGGUGGGAGGCUUUGAAACCAGGACGCCAGUUUUGGCGGAGCCAUCCUUGGGAUACCACCCUUGUAGUACUGGGACUCUAACCAUAGGCCAUGAAUCUGGUCUUGGGACACUGUCAGGUGGGCAGUUUGACUGGGGCGGUCGCCUCCCAAAAGGUAACGGAGGCGCUCAAAGGUUCUCUCAGUACGGUCGGAAAUCGUACGUAGAGUGUAAAGGCAAAAGAGAGCUUGAUUGCAAGACAUACAGGUCGAGCAAGGAUGAA
rnacentral:rRNA from 1 species